AGUGAACGCUGGCGGUAGGCCUAACACAUGCAAGUCGAACGGCAGCACAGUAAGAGCUUGCUCUUACGGGUGGCGAGUGGCGGACGGGUGAGGAAUACAUCGGAAUCUACUUUUUCGUGGGGGAUAACGUAGGGAAACUUACGCUAAUACCGCAUACGACCUACGGGUGAAAGCAGGGGAUCUUCGGACCUUGCGCGAUUGAAUGAGCCGAUGUCGGAUUAGCUAGUUGGCGGGGUAAAGGCCCACCAAGGCGACGAUCCGUAGCUGGUCUGAGAGGAUGAUCAGCCACACUGGAACUGAGACACGGUCAAUACUCCUACGGGAGGCAGCAGUGGGGAAUAUUGGACAAUGGGCGCAAGCCUGAUCCAGCCAUACCGCGUGGGUGAAGAAGGCCUUCGGGUUGUAAAGCCCUUUUGUUGGGAAAGAAAAGCAGCAGGUUAAUACCCCGCUGUUCUGACGGUACCCAAAGAAUAAGCACCGGCUAACUUCGUG
rnacentral:rRNA from 1 species